rnacentral:rRNA from 1 species
ACGGAAGGCAGCAGUGGGGAAUAUUGCACAAUGGGGGAAACCCUGAUGCAGCGACGCCGCGUGAGUGAAGAAGUUAUUCGUAAUGUAAAGCUCUAUCAGCAGGGAAGAAAAUGACGGUACCUGAAGAACAAGUCACGGCUAACUACGUGCCAGCAGCCGCGGUAAUACGUAGGUGACAAGCGUUAUCCGGAUUUACUGGGUGUAAAGGGCGUGUAGGCGGUUUGGCAAGUCAGAAGUGAAAUUCCCGGGCUUAACUUGGGCGCUGCUUCUGAAACUGCUUUACUUGAGUACUGGAGAGGAUAGUGGAAUUCCUAGUGUAGCGGUAAAAUGCGCAGAUAUUAGGAGGAACACCGGUGGCGAAGGCGGCUAUCUGGACAGUAACUGACGCUGAGGCGCGAAAGCACGGGGAGCAAACAGGAUUAGAUACCCUGAUA